rnacentral:lncRNA from 1 species
CAGUCACUGGCUAUGGGGCCACCUGGGAGGGGUGUGUGAAUUCCCAGGCACUUGCAUCUCUGCAGGAGUGCAAGGGCGGGCCCCUGAAGUAGGUUUAAGUGAUCGCUCUUGGAGGUGAAGCAUAACGAAGCUGGGGGAGCAACAAGAAAUACCUUCAUCUUUUUAGAGAAGAGUGAAAUUGAAGCCAGAGAGGUUGGUUAACUUGCCCAAGAUCACAAAGCUUCCAAGAUGAAGAGCUGGGAUUUCAUUUCAGGUUUCCCAUCUGGCAACAUCCAAGCCCUUUCCAUAAUUCCACACUGUGAAUUUGCUUCCCAAACCAAGAGUGGGAUACAAUUAGCUGGGGAGUGCAACUCAUCCCUCAAUCACUGAUCUGAGUAUGGAUAUCAAAAGAAACAUUUCCUGAAGCAAGACGCUGAGCUGGAAGCUUCCACGGUUGUGCCUAUACUGUGGCAGUCCUGCGCGAACCUGUCCGGCCCCAUGGAAACCUGCAGGGCUGAGGUCUCCCAGGGCAAAUGGGGCUGCAGGAUGCUCACUACACCCCCAGAAACAGGAGAAGGGACAAGGACACAGGACUGUCUGUGAGCAACACUGACUUUCGGCACAGGAGAGAUCCUUUGCCCCUCCUCACUCCAGAAUAUUGCUAAGAACAUAAUUGAUCUCUCUCCUUCUCAUUCACUCACAUCUCCCAAAACAAAGGAAGAGAGACCCAUUCAACUGAUCAGAGCCUGACUUUCCAUUGCUGAGCCAUGUUUUACUACUGAGUGGGGCAACUGCUUUAAAAAUCCAUUUGUUGCUGCAUUUUCUUGCCAGCUAUUUCUUCAUUUACAGGGUUCUGAGAGGCCUGGCCUCUGCUUCCUCCGCCCAUCCAAUAAGUACCACCUGUCUGUUGAGGGGCUCAGUGGCUUCAAGGUUUCAACCCUGGCUACAUCAUGGAACCAUCUGGGGAGCUUUCCAAGUACUGAUGCCUGAACCUUAGUCACAGAUUAAUGGAAACCUGAGGAAUGGGGACCCAUGACCUGGAGUCUGUAAGGCUUCCCCAUUGAUGUGAUGCUUGGUGAAAUCUGUUUGGGGGAAGAAGGUUCAUGAUCUGCCGAGCAAGGAGGAUGAGGGGCGAGGGAGAGGAGAUGAGGCCCAGUCCUGCAGAGCAGCAGUGACACAAGCUGAGAGCGGAUUCCAACAUGCUCUUAAGGGUCAGGUUCAGAGAGAGCUCAGGAGGCACGAGAGGACAGUGGCCCACCCCGGAGCUAUCACCUCGUCACCCUACUCUCUGCCCUCAUUCCCCCAGGCAUGGGCAGCCAGGCCUUAUAAAGUGCAGUGGCCGGGGUUCCUCUUCUUCAUGGGCCACAGGGAGGGAAGGCACUGGGAGGCACUGGGGACCAUCCCCCCAUUGCCGACAGGAGGAAGAAGAGGCGAUCCGAAGGCCGGACUGGGCACUUCCACCUAUGUGUGUUCCUAAAAAGGUCAUGCUCAUAGAAGCAGAGAGUGGAACGGAGGGUGCCAGGGGCUGGGUGGAGGGGAGAUGCCAGUCAAAGGGCACUAUAAACUGUUAGUUACAGGAGGCGGCGGCCCUGGGCUCUAAUGUACAGCAUGGUGACAACAGCUGGUAAGAACGACUUGUGUACUCGAAAUUUGCCGAGAGUAGAACUCGGUGUUCUCACCACACACAAAAAAGGUGACUGU